CGGUGUUUAACUGGCGUGAUGUGGGACGUCCUACCGGUGGGCUUAGCCUCGCGAGGGGCGGCCCAACUAAUAUCCCGUCGCGGUGCUCUUUACUGAGUGUCGAGUCGGGCCGGUACGUUUACUUUGAACAAAUUAGAGUGCUUAAAGCAGGCUAUCCUCGCCUGAAUACUGCGUGCAUGGAAUAAUGGAAUAGGACCUCGGUUCUAUUUUGUUGGUUUUCGGAACCCCGAGGUAAUGAUUAAUAGGGACAGAUGGGGGCAUUCGUAUUGCGACGUUAGAGGUGAAAUUCUUGGAUCGUCGCAAGACGGACAGAAGCGAAAGCAUUUGCCAAAAAUGUUUUCAUUAAUCAAGAACGAAAGUUAGAGGUUCGAAGGCGAUCAGAUACCGCCCUAGUUCUAACCAUAAACGAUGCCAGCUAGCGAUCCGCCGAAGUUCCUCCGAUGACUCGGCGGGCAGCUUCCGGGAAACCAAAGCUUUUGGGUUCCGGGGGAAGUAUGGUUGCAAAGCUGAAACUUAAAGGAAUUGACGGAAGGGCACCACCAGGAGUGGAGCCUGCGGCUUAAUUUGACUCAACACGGGAAACCUCACCAGGCCCAGACACCGGAAGGAUUGACAGAUUGAUAGCUCUUUCUUGAUUCGGUGGGUGGUGGUGCAUGGCCGUUCUUAGUUGGUGGAGCGAUUUGUCUGGUUAAUUCCGAUAACGAACGAGACUCUAGCCUGCUAAAUAGGCGUACCUUAUGGUAUCGCGAAGGCCCCCGGCUUCGGCCGGUGGGUUUUUACUACCAACGUACAAACAAAUCUUCUAGAGGGACAGGCGG
rnacentral:rRNA from 1 species